rnacentral:rRNA from 1 species
UACGUAGGGUCCGAGCGUUGUCCGGAAUUACUGGGCGUAAAGCGUGCGCAGGCGGUCUUUUAAGUCAGAUGUGAAAUCCCCGGGCUUAACCUGGGAACUGCGUUUGAAACUGAAGGGCUAGAGUGUGGCAGAGGGGGGUGGAAUUCCACGUGUAGCAGUGAAAUGCGUAGAGAUGUGGAAGAACACCGAUGGCGAAGGCAGCCCCCUGGGCUAACACUGACGCUCAUGCACGAAAGCGUGGGGAGCAAACAGG